AAACAGCACAUAUUCCAGCACAUGAACAAACAAAACCGACACCCGCUGCGAUAAAGUGCAGGAAUCGAGAGACACUAUUAAGGGAUGUAUUUGAACAGAAGCAGAGCUCUGGGACGUGUGGACAGACUUUCACUGUAAUGAAGGACAUCUGCUCGUGGACAGAAGUAUAACCCCUGCUGGACAUUGUGCCGGAGCUCGGGGGGGACCCGAAUCGUCCCCAUCCCUUCAUUCACACAACACUCACUCAUAUCGCGGAGAUCUGGCUGGGAUCGAACCAGCAACCUCUGAACCAUGAGGCAGCGCUCUUACCUGUGAGCCACAGAUCUCUUGUCUGAACAUGUGAAGGAACUUGUAUUUCAUUAUUCACCUGCAUGUGGCCGCUGAUUUUCCAAUUAAAGAGUAACAUUAGAAAGCUGAGGUGAGAUUCGAACCCAUGCUAUGAUCACGGGUUCAACAGAAGAGGACGUGCAUUUAGCCACUGGCCCAACAUGACUUUUAUGUUUACUGCUGGUGUUUGAGCCACUUCUUUGGUUAUACAACACCAAAACAAUUAGGAACAAAGUGAGCAAUAGUGAAAUUUAAACUCAGGAUUCCAUGAAUACAAUGCAAAACUUUAUCCAAUUCAACUUUUCAUUUUAACUUCAGCAGCUUAUCUUGACCCACUGUGUUGAGAUGCCAAUGCCAUUUUAAACGUGAACAUUUUGUGAACAGCUUAAAGGUUGGUAAAAGCAUCUGGUUCCUACUUUUUCUGUGCAACCAUUUUUUUUCUCAGGUGACCCUAUGCAGGACAAAUGGGUUGGAGAAUGGAUUGUAGUCUUAAACAGGUUUGACAGUUUCACAUAUUUUUCUGUACUACCCCAGAUAUAGCAGCUUGUUGCAUACAAAACCUUAUGCCAAUAAGCCUGAAACUUUUGUUUUUGAAAGUUUUCUGCCUUUCUUGUGGGAACUUUAAAGAGUAAGGGAUUUUUUUUGUUGUUGUUGUCUCAUUUCUUCUGUUGUAAUGAAGUUUUUUUUUUUUUUUUUUUUUUAAGUUUUGUCAGUUUCAUGAACAUGAAUCACUUUGCAGGAUGGUGAGCAGCUGCAUUAGCCAUUUUUUAUAGAUUCACAGAUGAUAAUAAUCUUCCAUUUGAAUAAACCUAAGACAAACUAAUAUGCGUUGUCUAAAAACAGAGACUGGAUUUGAAAAAAAAAAGUUUUAAUUGAAUUUCUUUGACUUACACAUGCAUAAAACAGUACAUUGUACAUGGUAUUCACUGAUAUGGUUAUAGUAUAACAAUAUCAAGACUUCACACGCAAAAUGAACAAUUUUCCCUCCCAACAAAAUUACGUAAACAUCCAACCAUUAAAAAAAGAUGAUAAACAUGCAGCAAAUGGUCACACAAGAAUAGCCUGGAGUAUAGAAGAAAAACAUUAAAGAACUGUUAUUUUGAUUUGUCAUCUUUGGUUUUAGCCUGGUGCAAACUCUUAUAAAUACGGUUUCAGUUACUGUAUAUACUGCAAAUCCUAAAUGAAUAAAUAACAUUUCAUUGAAUUAAUGUUAUGGCAUGUACGGUGUUUCACUGUGAGUGGCGCUUCUUGCUUUCAUUGUAAAAUCACAGUGACUUUCAGUUUCUCCAAUUUCACAGUUGCAGACUUAAGUGAUGAUUGUCAUGUUUAAAUGUCUUAGUCGACAUCUGUGGCACUGGUUUCAGGUGAACGCGAGGACGCUUCCCUGAAGAACUCAUCCUCUUUUAGCAUGCUCUGGAGAACACAGGAGAAGCUGAGGUAAGGACAAGAAAGACCACGGCAGAUACAGUACAGCAGGAAUAUUAUGUGGCUGUCUUACAGUCAGGUUGUUGAUUCCCUCUGAGAAUGCGCCGAUCUGUUGCACUGUGCCCUCAGAGUCCUCCAUCUGCACAGAGAACAACAACAUCAUAAACAAUUUAACAAUAACAUCCAACUAUGACCAGAAAACAUUAAAAACUGACAAUUUAGAUAUGAUUCACAAUUUAGCUGCAUUGCAUCCCAGUCUGUAGAACUGUCUGUACCUGCUCCAGCUGAUCCAAGCUGUCCUCAUAUAUGCAAAGGCCUUUAUGGAAACUGCUGCUCUGAGGCAUCUGCACAUCCAUGGGGCAAACAUACUCCUCCAUCUCCUCCUGUCGCUUCCUCCUCAGUGUACCAAAACUUCCAAACGACAGACGUCUUGGCUAAAAGGAGGAGAGGAUGGUAAAGGACAGGUAAAACUUUUAUCAGCAUGCUGUUAUUAAGUUAAUAAACAGCUGUUUACUGUUGUAUUCCACACAUUAGUGACAUUCAAGGUCCCACAGGCGACGUUUUACACAGUUACUUGCCUUAACUUUGGCUGUGGCUGUCAGGACAGUGUAAUCUGGGUUUUCGAGAUACUCCUGCUUCAGCCUUUGUGCCUCUGAGCCAAUCAGAAGAUGGAAGUUGUUUGCAAGGUGACGUCUCAACAGAGUUUUAUUUGGAGGGAUGUUAAGAAGCAGAGCCAUUGUCUCAACAUUGAAGCGAGGCUCUAAAACCUGAGAAAGGCAAGUAAAAAAAAAAAAAAUUUGUAAAAGCAUUGUGAAUUUGAAAGUCAUGAUAUUUCCUGCCCCACUGCAUGUACCAUUAGGCCUCCGUGGACUCCACUUCCUCUCAGGUUGGGUGCGUACUCUGCUAGAUCCACUGAACGAAGCCACUCCAUCACUCUGUGAUUGGUCCAUUGGCAGAUUUCUGCUGGUGUGGGAUUGUUCUGAUCAAAAGGGAAAAAUAAAGCAAAGAUUAAAGUCUUUUUUUUAAAGUGAAUGGAGUUAAGUGUGGUAGCAUAAUGACAGGUUGUGCUACCUCAAUCGGUCGGCGGCGGAGGCAGUUGGGGUCAUAGCAGUUGAUACGUAGCACCUGAAUGGCCCUCUUAAUACUGAGAUGGUGAAGCACACUGCCCACUUUCAGUCCCAACAGGUCAUCCUAACAAAAAAGAUGUGGAAACAUCAACCUUAGAAUUGUGUUUUCAACAAGAAUAUUUAGAAGUUUCUUGAAAACCAAAUCAGCAUAUUGGAAUGAUUUCUGAAGGAUCAUGCGACACUGAAGACUUGAAUAAUUGUUGCUCAAAAUUUAGCAUUUCCAUUAUAGGAAUACAUUAUAUUUUAAAAUAUAUUAAAAGGCACUGUAAUAUUUAAAUUGUAAUAAUAUUAGGAUUUAUUUAUUAGAUACCUACCAGAGUCAUAUAGUGAAGCAUGCGCCCAUCCACUCUGCCCUCGUCAAACUGAGAUUUAUACUGAGGUAAGCCGAUGUCAUCCAGCCAUCCUUUGAGAUAAUUACAAUAAGCCUAUUGGUAUUUGCACUCUUUAAUAAAAUGUUAUUAGUGCAUCCCUAUUACUAGGUCUAUCAGUCCUACUAGUCAUAACAUUCGUAAUCAACUAUAUUCAGACAUCUGACCUAAUUUUUUAUUAUUUUUUUUUAAAUAAAUAAGAUUGUUACUUACGAGUAACCCAGUUGUAGUCCAGUUUACCCAUGGCAUCUUUCUCCUCUGAGCCCAGCGACUGAAGAGCCAGCUGCAGUUUCUUUCUAUGUAGAGGAUGCCUGAUGCCCAUUUCCUGAAGCGCAGAGAGAACUAUCUUACAGCACAUAAAAAAAUCACAUUUUAUAUAGUCUAUACAGAUAAGAAGAGCCUUGUGUAGCCUUUUCAACAUGAUGUGUUACACAAAUUUGAAAAUGUGGGGCAGUUCAGGAGACCUUUUCCAAUUCAUGCGGAGAUGCCUUCAAUAAUGUCUGUCCAGAGCUGAUCCAUUGCUUAGCCUGAUUUACAUACAAGCCCAGAUCAUGGUUCUGCAGCCACUCGCACACUUGCUCUUUACUCCAUCUUGAAAAUGGGCUGUCCAGCUCGCUGACAGAGACAUUAACAACAUUACAUUUUUCAAUGCUUGGGGGAGAAACAAAGAAAGUACUCUUAAUAAACAAACUGCAUGUACUUGUUAUUGCUUCGCUGCAGAUCACGUGACCAGCCCAGUCUGGGUCCCGCUGUGGCUCGGACUCCCCCUCUCCUAAACUCUGACUCUAGAGAAUCGUCCAGGUCAGAGGAGGUGGACUGACUUCUCUUCAUCCUAAUUUAGGAUUAUACAUAUCUAUAAAAGUUCAUAUCUUCAUCUUAAUAACCACUGAAACUUAUUAACAUAUCAAGAAACACUAAAAAGACCUUCCAAAUAACUUCAUGAUCCCCUUCGAUUUCUUCUUCCCUUCAGGUGAGUGUGUCUCUAAUGCUUUUGUCUUCUGAGUUUGCACUCCGGCCAAAUCCAAGUGCUCCGCUCCCUUACGCUCUCCUUCCACUGCCAAUAUAUAACCAACAACCCAUCAAUAAGUGUCUGGCCUGACUCACCCAGAUCGGGAGCGCUGCUUGUCAUCUUGUUGCCUCUGAUCUUGAAAAAGCCACGUCCAAAAGAGGAGCGUGUUUUUUUAGAGCCAAAACUCUCAUUGCCCCCUGAGCUGGGCUGAGUCGGGGAGACGGACGGAGAGCCUCCAUUUUUACUGGCUUCAUCCUAAAAUAUAACAAGCAAGUUUGCUGGUUUGGGUUAAGAUAUUGCACUUUUUGUUUUGCGAAAUGAUUUCCUCUAAAAACCUCUCAAGUUCUAACUAAAAACAAAUUAGAUGCUUAGUAAUCAGCAUCAUUUAUUAAAAAAAAGUGCCCAGUGCAGCAAUGCAGCCUUUUUAUUGUAAAUAUAGCUUUUUGUCAGGCUCAUGUUGAUCUAAUUUUACAAUGAACUAGGAUAGUGUGCUGGAUAGGGUGAUGUAAGAUGCUGUAAGGGAAGCCAUUGUACAGGAGAACAGUGGCAUUAUUGUGUACAAGUGGAGUUUUUAACCAACAGGAGGUGCCAGAAAGCCAAAUAUGCAAAUCUCCAACUUUUUUACAGGACCUUAUUGACGUAGUUCAUAAUUUCUCAUAUAGAUUAAGUUGGUACCUCAUUAUUGCUUGUCAAACGAGUCCUUUCAGGCUGUUGUACUUCAGAGACACUGAAAAAGCAAAAUGGAAGAAAUCAAAUCGGUCACAAAUUUAAUAAUUUAUAAUAAAAGUGCAAUUUUUAUAAAAUUCUUGCAUUUACCUUAAUUUUCUUACAUUCAGAUUUUUUUUUAAAAAAAUUAUUACAUUUUUAAGCCCUAUUUUGUAUACUACUCAUGGAAAGUGCCUGAAAAUUAAUACAGCUUUGAACAUAGUUUUUAUCUUUUUUUUUCCAAUCUGUACUUUUUUUUCCAAUAAUGAAACAUACUUGAAUAUCAAUGUAUCUUUGUAUGAACACAGUUUAAAUAACAAAUGUCUACAGUAAGUAAACAGACCUGUCAGUGGUCUCAGCUGCAGGUUUGUGUGAGGUCACUUCAGGGAGCAGCUCUGAACAUGGAAUGAGUUGAGGCUGUAUGA